UCAAAUAAUGGAAACCGCGCCCCGUGUUCAAUUUUUUCACUAUAAAAAUCCUGAAUGCACUCACUUGAACUUGGAUUCUCAUUCUGUGUUAAUAUAGGGCCAAGUGCUUGAAACAAAUCAUUUUCUACCAUUCUCUUGCUCCCAUCCAACAAAUAUUCUGCACCUUGUCCAUCCAAAGAAUGAUUAUUGAUCACAUGGUUCACAUCAUAUUUAGAAGAUGCCAUCAAAUCAGACGAACCUAUUUGAAGCCCAUCUCCAAUAUGCUCUGUGCAAGAUAUGAUUUUCUGUGGUGGUCUGCUGGCAUCUGCAAUAAAAUUGGGAUGUGG
rnacentral:misc_RNA from 1 species